AAUGGGGGCAACCCUGAUCCAGCGACGCCGCGUGUGUGAAGAAGGCCUGCGGGUUGUAAAGCACUUUUAGUGGGGACAAAAAGCCGAGGGCUAAUACCUUUCGGUCUUGAUUUAACCCAAAGAAAAAGCGCCGGCUAACUCUGUGCCAGCAGCCGCGGUAAUACAGAGGGUGCAAGCGUUAAUCGGAAUUACUGGGCGUAAAGCGUGCGCAGUCGGUUAUUUAAGUCGGAUGUGAAAUCCCCGGGCUCAACCUGGGAAUUGCAUUCGAUACUGGAUAGCUAGAGUUCGGCAGAGGGAAGCGGAAUUUCGGGUGUAGCGGUGAAAUGCGUAGAUAUCCGAAGGAACAUCAGUGGCGAAAGCGGCUUCCUGGACCAGAACUGACGAUCAGGCACGAAAGCGUGGGGAGCAAA
rnacentral:rRNA from 1 species